rnacentral:rRNA from 1 species
UGGCGGCGUGCCUAAUACAUGCAAGUCGAGCGGACCGGAUGGGAGCUUGCUCUUGUUCGGUCAGCGGCGGACGGGUGAGUAAUACGUGGGCAACCUACCCGUAAGACCGGGAUAACUCCGGGAAACCGGAGCUAAUACCGGAUAACACCGAAGACCGCAUGGUCUUCGGUUGAAAGGCGGCUUCGGCUGUCACUUACGGAUGGGCCCGCGGCGCAUUAGCUAGUUGGUGAGGUAACGGCUCACCAAGGCGACGAUGCGUAGCCGGCCUGAGAGGGUGACCGGCCACACUGGGACUGAGACACGGCCCAGACUCCUACGGGAGGCAGCAGUAGGGAAUCUUCCGCAAUGGACGAAAGUCUGACGGAGCGACGCCGCGUGAGCGAAGAAGGUCUUCGGAUCGUAAAGCUCUGUUGUUAGGGAAGAAGAAGUGCCGUUCGAAUAGGGCGGCGCGGUGACGGUACCUAACGAGAAAGCCCCGGCUAACUACGUGCCAGCAGCCGCGGUAAUACGUAGGGGGCGAGCGUUGUCCGGAAUUAUUGGGCGUAAAGCGCGCGCAGGCGGUCCCUUAAGUCUGAUGUGAAAGCCCACGGCUCAACCGUGGAGGAUCAUU